rnacentral:rRNA from 1 species
AGAGUUUGAUCCUGGCUACAGAACGAACGCUGGCGGCAUGCCUAACACAUGCAAGUCGAACGAGACCUUCGGGUCUAGUGGCGCACGGGUGCGUAACGCGUGGGAAUCUGCCCUUUGCUUCGGAAUAACAGUUAGAAAUGACUGCUAAUACCGGAUGAUGUCUUCGGACCAAAGAUUUAUCGGCAAAGGACGAGCCCGCGUAGGAUUAGGUAGUUGGUGGGGUAAAGGCCUACCAAGCCGACGAUCCUUAGCUGGUCUGAGAGGAUGAUCAGCCACACUGGGACUGAGACACGGCCCAGACUCCUACGGGAGGCAGCAGUGGGGAAUAUUGGACAAUGGGCGCAAGCCUGAUCCAGCAAUGCCGCGUGAGUGAUGAAGGCCUUCGGGUCGUAAAGCUCUUUUACCAGGGAUGAUAAUGACAGUACCUGGAGAAUAAGCUCCGGCUAACUCCGUG